rnacentral:rRNA from 1 species
AACGAACGCUGGCGGCAGGCUUAACACAUGCAAGUCGAACGCCCCGCAAGGGGAGUGGCAGACGGGUGAGUAACGCGUGGGAAUCUACCCAAUUCUUCGGAACAACACAUGGAAACGUGUGCUAAUACCGGAUGAGCCCUUCGGGGGAAAGAUUUAUCGGAAUUGGAUGAGCCCGCGUUGGAUUAGCUAGUUGGUGGGGUAAAGGCCUACCAAGGCGACGAUCCAUAGCUGGUCUGAGAGGAUGAUCAGCCACACUGGGACUGAGACACGGCCCAGACUCCUACGGGAGGCAGCAGUGGGGAAUAUUGGACAAUGGGCGCAAGCCUGAUCCAGCCAUGCCGCGUGAGUGAUGAAGGUCUUAGGAUUGUAAAGCUCUUUCACCGGUGAAGAUAAUGACGGUAACCGGAGAAGAAGCCCCGGCUAACUUCGUGCCAGCAGCCGCGGUAAUACGAAGGGGGCUAGCGUUGUUCGGAUUUACUGGGCGUAAAGCGCACGUAGGCGGACUUUUAAGUCAGGGGUGAAAUCCCGGGGCUCAACCCCGGAACUGCCUUUGAUACUGGGAGUCUUGAGUUCGAGAGAGGUGAGUGGAAUUGCGAGU